rnacentral:tRNA from 1 species
CGGGGUGUAGCGCAGAUGGUAGCGCGCUGCGUUCGGGACGCAGAGGUCGCAGGUUCAAGUCCUGUCACCCCGACCA